rnacentral:rRNA from 1 species
AUUGAACGCUGGCGGCAGGCUUAACACAUGCAAGUCGAGCGAGCGGCGGACGGGUGAGUAAUGUCUGGGAAACUGCCUGAUGGAGGGGGAUAACUCCUGGAAACGGUAGAUAAUCCCGCAAACAUUCAGAUGUCCCCAGAGGGGAGUAGCUAGUAGGUGGGGUAAGGUCUCACCUAGGCGACGAUCCCUAGCGGUUCUGAGAGGAUGACCAGCCAAACUGGAACUGAGACACGGGCCAGACUCCUACGGGAGGCAGCAGUGGGGAAUAUUGCACAAUGGGCGCAAGCCUGAUGCAGCCAUGCAGCGUGUGUGAAGAAGGCCUUCGGGUUGUAAAGCACUUUCAGCGAGGAGGCGUUACUCGCAGAAGAAGCACCGGCUAACUCCGUGCCAGCAGCCGCGGUAAUAC